rnacentral:tRNA from 1 species
GCCCGGGGCGGGGCGGGGGGCGAAAUUGGUAGACGCGCUUGACUCAAAAUCAAGUUCCGAAAGGAGUGCCGGUUCGAUUCCGGCCCCGGGCACCA